GCAAGAUAUAUAUGAACUUUUGAGUCCUUUGUACUUUUAAGCCACGAUCUAGAGUUGACCCACUGCAGGGCUGUCCAUCCAUCAUCAUAGGCACAAGGAAAUCGAUUUUCAGGUGCCCGGCGGUAAUUUACAGAGACCACUACAGCCUUGCAAAUACCAACUAGUCGGCGGCACAGAAUAUCAUAUAUGCCACUGUUAGCAGAGGAGUGUGCAAAGCUUCCACCAUGGAAGAAAAUUAUGACAGGCACCACCUCAUUGCUCACAGGUUUGUCAAGAUUAAGAAUAUUCAGCACAGAUUCUUCAGCAUUGGCUGGUUGAUAGAUUCGAGUAAGCAGGCCAGUUUCACGGUCAAUGAUGACAUCAAAUGAGACAACCCCAUCAACUGGUUUUGCAUUGGCUGGCACUUUCCGAUCAAGGAAUUCUGCCAAGUGACGGUUAAA
rnacentral:lncRNA from 1 species